UACGGGGGGGGCAAGCGUUGUUCGGAAUUACUGGGCGUAAAGGGCUCGUAGGCGGCCAACUAAGUCGGAUGUGAAAUCCCCAGGCUCAACCCGGGAACUGCAUCCGAUACUGGAUGGCUUGAAUUCGGGAGAGGGAUGCAGAAUUCCAGGUGUAGCGGUGAAAUGCGUAGAUAUCUGGAGGAAUACCGGUGGCGAAGGCGGCAUCCUGGACCGACAUUGACGCUGAGGAGCGAAAGCCAGGGGAGCAAACGGG
rnacentral:rRNA from 1 species